UACGUAGGUGGCGAGCGUUGUCCGGAUUUACUGGGCGUAAAGAGCGCGCAGGCGGCUGGUCAAGUCCGAUGUGAAAGCUCCCGGCUUAACUGGGAAAUUGCAUCGGAAACUGAUCGGCUGGAAGGUGGGAGAGGGUAGCGGGAAUUCCCGGUGUAGUGGUGAAAUGCGUAGAUAUCGGGAGGAACACCAGUGGCGAAAGCGGCUACCUGGCCCUUCUUGACGCAUGAGGCGCGAA
rnacentral:rRNA from 1 species